GCUAAUGGUCUGACUUGUGAGACUACCGCAACUCUGACCAGGACAAAUAUGUCUCUGAAGAUGACUAAAUAAAUUAAGUAUUUCACUAUGAUUCCGAUGACCAGACUGAGAUAUAAGGAAUACUAAAACCUAAGGUUUGAGCAAUGGGCUACUCAAUAGUGGUUUUUGGAUGAAUCCCUUAGAAGAGAAACGUGUAACGAAAUAUAGUGUUCAUCAAAUUUCCAUGAUAUCAGUGUUAAGAUGUGCAUUUAAUAAAACAUGCAGUGAACAACUCUGUUCCACACGUCGUUGGCAGCCAUGAAAGCAGUGGAGCUUCCCCAUGUACUGUACUAAAUCUUAAUUUAACCCCCGAGACUUACAGACAUAGAUCUUUUAAAAUAGACUGCAUUCUGAAAGCUUAUUUUUAAGUAUGCAUAAAUAACAUUUUCGUAUGCAUACUUAAGAUUCUAGUAGUUUUUUUUGUUGUUGUUGUUAGUAUGCAUACUUAAGAUUCUAGUAGUUUUUUUGUUGUUGUUGUUAGUAUGCAUACUUAAGAUUCUAGUAGUUUUUUUUUUUUGUUAGUAUGCAUACUCAAAAUUCUAGUAGUUUUUUUGUUAGUAUGCAUACUUAAGAUUCUAGUGGGUUUUUUUUGUUAGUAUGCAUGCUUAAAAUUCUAGUAUUUUUUUUUGUUAGUAUGCAUACUUAAGAUUCUAGUGGGGUUUUUUUGGAUUCUAGUAGUUCUUUUUCUAAGUAUGCAUACUUAAGAUUCUAGU
ensembl:lncRNA